GUGGAAUUACAGGAUCGGAGGAGGAGCCUUGAAAAGAGACAGCGGAAAAGGGAACUGUUGUCACCGCUCUUCUCUAAACAGCUCUCUCUCAGCUGAUCAGCAGGCAGAGGUUGUGGACUCCUCGCAGGACCGGUUUGAAGAAGGUGUUGAUAUAAGCAGAUGAGCAGCUUCCGAUCAAAUACGCGGAGCGGCCCCCCCACUCCCCAUAACCUCCCAAACACCGAGGAGCCCCAAAGAUGGCAGGAGCCCAGCUCCCCCGUUGAGGCGCUGCGAGAGCUGGAUGGACUUCUGUGGAAGGGGCUGUCUGCAGUUCUGUGGGAAUAGAAUAUAAACAAGAAAUGUAACAAGGAAU
rnacentral:lncRNA from 1 species